AGAGUUGAUCAUGGCUCAGGAUGAACGCUGGCGGCGUGCUUAUACAUGCAAGUCGAACGUGAAGCUGACCUCGGUCAGUGGAAAGUGGCGGACGGGUGAGUAAUACAUAGGAAAUCUGCCCUUAGGAAGGGGAUAACAGUCGGAAACGAUUGCUAAUACCCUAUAUGAGCUUGGUUGCAAUACCAAUCUUGAAAACUCCGGUGCCUAAGGAUGAGCCUGUGCCUGAUUAGCUUGUUGGUGGUGUAAUGGACCACCAAGGCGAUGAUCAGUAGCUGGUUUGAGAGGAUGAUCAGCCACAAUGGAACUGAGACACGGUCCAUACUCCUACGGGAGGCGGCAGUAGGGAAUUUUGGGCAAUGGGCGAAAGCCUGAACCCCAGCAACGCCGCGUGUGUGAUGAAGCCCCUAGGGGUGUAAAACACUGUCAGUAGGGAAGAAACUUGACUGUACCUACAGAGGAAGCACCGGCUAACUCCGUGCCAGCCGCAGC
rnacentral:rRNA from 1 species